rnacentral:rRNA from 1 species
GAUCAUGGCUCAGGACGAACGCUGGCGGCGUGCUUAACACAUGCAAGUCGAACGAAAAGACGGAAAGAGCUUGCUCUUUCCGGAAUUGAGUGGCAAACGGGUGAGUAACACGUAAACAACCUGCCUUCAGGAUGGGGACAACAGACGGAAACGACUGCUAAUACCGAAUAAGUUCCAAGAGCCGCAUGGCCCAUGGAAGAAAAGGUGGCCUCUACCUGUAAGCUAUCGCUUGAAGAGGGGUUUGCGU